UGAAUACUGGAUUUAUAUUUGUACUAUCACCAAAUCCUAAAUUCCUAUUCCUUCAUCAGUAGCAUCAAAAAGUGAUGAAGUCUUUGUAUAUGCCCUGCCUAAAUAUUAUUAGAAGUUUCAUAAGCCCUCAGGAUGGCUAGAUGCUCAUUGCUCAGAGACUCAGCCAGCGUCUAGAUGUCAGCUCCUGAACAAAUCGGCCAUAUUGAAAUUUCAACCAAUCAUGUUUGAUAAAACAGGUUGGGUCGGAAACGGAGACGUCACCGUCGGCAACAUUAGUUUAUCUCAACCUUUAAUCCUGCAAAUCCUAUUCCAAAUUAUCCAUCGCAUCCCAGGUCGAUAAAGUAAAUUACCGAUGCACACUCUGAGCUAUGGAGGGGGGGUCGGUAACGUCGACAACACUGGUUUAUGGGGGGCGCCACCGCUGGCAGCAUGGUCGAUAUGCAAUGCUCUGUCGGUAGAACAGGGACCUACUAAUAUGAGUUACCAUGCGUCGGUAUUCGGUUUGGCCCAGCAGCCGCGCAGUCCCUACUACUGUAAAAAAUGAGCGUAACUAUUGUGAUUAUAAAAUAUAAUGUAUUAUUAUAAGUUAAAAAAAAAGUCUCUCAUAAGCGGGCAAAAUGUACAUGAUUAUUUAUAAUGUAAUUUAAUUACUAUAAAAUUGGUCAUGCAAUAAACCAUUCAGUUUAAAUAAACCAUUUUUUUUCAUUUCCUAUGUAUUAGAUACAAAAUUUUUAUUAGAUCUACGUAUCCUUUAGUAGUAAUUUUUCAAAAAUAGCGUUGGGUCGUUAAUUUACCAUAAAAUUGGUUAUGAUAUCAGAGAUUCGUAUUAAUACAGCGCAUUUGUAAUUUUAUAACCUUAAAAACUCGCAGAUCACUUGCAUCAGUAGAUUUACAACGCCAUAGUAUUUCAGCUAUUUUAGUGACAUAUUUACUACACUGAGUAUAGUAUAAAAAAUUUCCAACUCUCAGUCUGGUAAAUAUACGAUCGGAUUUUUUACAGUCCAUAUACAAACUUGAGUUUAACUGUGGUCAGGUUCGCGGAAAAAUCAAAUACGACGCACGUUUAGUUUAGUAGCACCGCAUAACAUGAAGAAUUUUCGAAGGAGAAACACGUGCGUAAUUAAAAUUCGUACCAAAACCCACCGAGACGCAUUUUAUUUCAAUUAAAUAAAAUGAGCGAAGGUAAACGAAAUUCCGAUACACCUAAGGGUCCUGCAUCAACGAAAAAAAUUAAAUUUGACUCUCUACGAUCGUUUCAAGAUGCAAUUGAUUUCGUAUACAAGGCAACAUUCAAAGGAAAAAUUAUAACUAAAUCUGAUAUAAGGUUGUGUACAAACUCAAAAAUUUGUAAAAAGUCAUGUCUUUUUGAUAUUAGUGAUGAAUCCUGCAUAAUACGUUGAACUAUGUUUGAUAACGACUGUGAUGAGUUUCACCCUUUAAUUCAAGAAGAUAAUAUAUAUGAAUUUAGAAAUAUGCUAAUGAAGCCAACCAAUUCGAAUUUCAAUAACUUAGGAACUCUAUGUGAAUUAUGCUGCACUCAAUUUACUGAGAUUCGAAAAGUUGAAGAUAGUGAUUUAGACGUAUCUCAUUAUAAGUCCAGUUCCAAUUUCCAAACUUUGGAAGAAAUUGAAAUGAUGCCUAAAGGUACUUUGAUAGACGUUAAAAUUGCCAUUAAAGAAGUCAAAGAUGCAGUUGUAGUGACAAACGAGACGUCAUAAUUUAUGAUAAUACAAAAGAUUCGUUUACACUAGUAUUAUGGGGUCUCAAAUCAAAGGAGAAUAAAUAUCCAAUUAAUUCAAUUUGGUCAAUCCGUGGAGCAAAAGUAGGAGAAUAUGGUGAUAAAAAAUAUAUUCAAUGUGUAACCACGUCAACUAUAUCACAAGACCUAACAUCAGAAUUAAGUUUAAGAUUACAAUCCUGGAUAUCAGAAAAUGUAAAAUAAUAAAAUUAAUUUAACAAAAUGUAUAACAUAAUAAUCAGGUAGUAAAUAAAAAAAUUAUAAAACUA